GACAUAGGUGGCGAACGUUAUCCGGAAUUAUUGGGCGUAAAGCGCACGUAGGCGGCUCAACAAGUCGGAUGUGAAAUCCCUCGGCUCAACCAAGGAAGUGCACCCGAAACUGUCGAGCUUGAAUAUGGAAGAGGGUCGCGGAAUUCCCGGUGUAGAGGUGAAAUUCGUAGAUAUCGGGAGGAACACCAGUGGCGAAGGCGGCGACCUGGGCCAAUAUUGACGCUGAGGUGCGAAAGCGUGGGGAGCAAACAGG
rnacentral:rRNA from 1 species